CCUUGCUGCGGCCUGGGGGCACAGGGCUGGCUGGGGCUGGGUGGGGCUCUUCCCUCUCGCCCUUCUUUUCUGCCUCCCACCUCCCAGCCCUGCCCGGCCAUCACUGAGAUAAAACGGGACACCCGGAUGGCAGGCCGGGCUCCUUCACUGCUGGUGUCCCCACCCUCUGAACAGAGGAUCCUGGUCUGUAACUGGGGUUUGGGGGACACUUGAAGUUUAGAAGGGGCUGAGCCUGGGAUUAGGGGUGCAGGAAAGCACUGCCCUGCCCCCACCCACCUGACCUCAGCAACCCCUGUACCCACUUGUCAGGACGCAGUUAUCUGCUCUGCCCUGAAACCUUGCAGGGCAGCUCGGCCGCCAGGGCCAGGCCUGGGAGCAGGGCCUGGCGGAGUGGGGUCAGGGAGAGCUCCGCCAGCCAGUCAGCCCCAAGAAUGUUGGUGCGUUAACCACCAGGAACCAGCGGCUCCUGCGGGGCCAGGUGGGCAGGUUGGAGGUCCGAGUGGGGCAGGCUGCCAGGGGUCCAGGCCAAGGUAAGCAGGUACCUGGGGGGCUGCCUCGCCGCACUGCCCAGGCCGACCACAGCUGUGCCUCGGCCCGCCUGCUGCUGCUGUCGGCACAGGCAGCCAGAUGAUUGGUGAGCCGGGGGCCAGGGGUUAAUGCGCCGUCGGAUAAAUCCCGGGCCAUGUUUACGGCAGUGGUGGCGGGGACCAGGCCAGGUUUUAAAAGGGGGAAAAAUAAAAGGGGCAGGAAGGUCAGGAAUAAAUAAGAGCAGCACUAAGAGCUGUCAGUGACCGGCCAGGAUGCAGGACUGGGGGUCUGUUUGUGGCCAGAGAUGUUUUCCCUCCCACCCGCCUCUGUUUCUCCUCCAGCUCUCCCUGUGAAGGUCACGGCCAUCCCAGCUGCCUCACACAAUGAGGGGCUUCACUGGGGCUGGGGGCCCGCAGACAGUGGGCCAUGAAUCUUACAGGUGGCUGGGGACCUACUGGGUCACGGUUAGGACCGUGGCCUUGGCUGUGAGGUGAGAGCCCAGGCAGAGUGCUGAGCAGAAGAGGGGUGAUGGCCUGACUCAGGAUCUAGACGGCCCACACCUUUCUGUGCACCUCUUCUGUGACCCUCUUCUGAAGUCUGUCCUUUGGAGACCUCGGGGGCCCUAGUUAAUGUAGCACCUGCCCUGCCCUGCCCGCUGCCGCCCUCCCCGUGUCUCUUCACUCACCGCCCAGUGACUGAGCCCCUGCCACAAGCUGGGCCUUGAGCUGGGUGCCAGGGCAGAUCUGCCGGGCAGCAGAGGGGGCUGGCACCUGCCCUGCCAGAGCCCCCAGGCCACAUUACACAGGGGGGUCUGCGCGCUGCGGGUGGGACACGAAGGCCCAGUGGGAGCCCAGUGAAGAGCCCUGAGCGCUCCAGUGAGAGCGGCGGGGCGUCCUGGGCAGGGGGAGCAGCACGGGCAAAGGCCUGAAUCGAGGGGGAUGUGGGGUUUUGGGGAGACACAGAAGAUCCAAGCGGCCGGAGGCCAGCCGGGAAGAGGGGAGGUGGAAGAUGCUGCAGGCGCCAGAGAGCCUUCAGCUCCAGAAGACAAAGGUGCACAGAAAGGUGUGGGCCGUCUAGAUCCUGAGUCAGGCCAUCACCCCUCUUCUGCUCAGCACUCUGCCUGGGCUCUCACCUCACAGCCAAGGCCACGGUCCUUACCAUGACCCAGCAGGUCCCCAGCCACCUGUAAGAUUCAUGGCCGCUGCUCAUCCCCGUCACUCUGCAGCAGCCACACCGACCUCCUUGCAGUUCCGGGAACAGAUCUGGCCCGCUCCCGCCUCAGGGCCUGUGUGUUGUCUGUUCCCUCUGCCUGGAAUGCUCUUCCAGAUGCCAUGUGGCUGCUCCCUUCACCUCUUACGGGGUUCACUGGCAUGCCGCCUUCUCAGUGAGGCUCCCCCUGGCCCCUAAUUGAAGCUGCCGCUGCUUGGCCCUGGCCCAGCCACCCUGCACCCCCCGGAGCCCUCACCCCGCUCUUGGUUUUUCUUGUCCUCAGGGUGCCUCUCUCCCAAGGUGCCAUAUAAUUCACUUAUUUAUCAUGUUCAUCACUUGUCUGUCUCCCCCUGAGAACAGGGCUCCACAGGGCAUCACUGCAUCACCAGUCCCUACAGCUGGGUCUGGCAUAUGUAGUAGGUGCUCAACAAAUGGUUAUUGAAUGACUGAAUGAGGCACAGGUAAAAGCAGGGACCACCCUUUGUGUUAAGGGCUUUGCUGACGAGUGCGGUGGGCGCCAGUGAGGUUUGGCAGGGCAGGAGCCGCUCAUGCAUGGCCAGGCUGCAUGGAGGCACAGCGGGGCCCUUCCAGCUUCCCUCCCCGCGGGACUGAGGGGAAGAGGCUGCUGGAGCAGGCCCCAGGCACGGCCUGACCGACGCAGAGAUGGAUGGGGUGGGCCGGGACCCAGGAGGAAGCGGGCCCGCAGUCCAGCCUUUUAACGCGGCCGAGAUUUAUGGAGCCAUCGAAAGUGCUCACCGGGGCUGUCACUCUGCUAAUGUGAUUGGAACAAGAGAACUAGGAGGAUUCCCAGAAGAGGGGGCAUUUGACUUGGACCCUGAAGGCUGAGUAGGAGUUUGGCAGGAACAGCGGGAGGAAGAGGCCCACCAGAUGGAGGGCCCAGUGUCUGAGGACUGAAAUGUUUACUCGGCGAUAAGGAGCCGGCUUUCUCGUGGAGAUUUGUGCGCUCUUUUUCAAUUACCCCUCGUCUUUCUCUGCCACUUUUGCACUAAAGGGAUAAUAAAUGUAUCGGAGCGUUUCAAUUAUUCAUCUAAAUCAUGACUUCGCCUGCCACGGCCAGCUUUAGUGACAGAUUAAUUCAGGGCCGCCUUCCUCUGCUUGCGUGGCCGCCAUCUCUGCCCCUGCCUGGCCAGCUUCCCAAAGGGCUGGCCUGAGGGGUGGCCAGGCUGGGGUCAGGCAGGGCCCUGGCAGGCACAGGCAGGCAGGGCAGCAUGGAGCCUGUCCCCACACAUGCACUGAUAGGGCACUCCUGCUCAUCCGGAGGCCAGCAGCCCCACCCAAACCUACCAGUGGGGGUGCCACUCCCUGCCCUCCUGCUUUGUCGGCUCUGCACAGCCCCUGCUUCCUGCCCACGUGGCUGGUAUGUCUCGUACACCUGGUGUCCCAAGUUGCUCGCUCCUGAGAGAAGCCAGGGUGGCUCAGGUUCUGCCACAGCCCUCUUCUGGCACAGGGCCUUUGCACAUGCUGCUCCUGUGCCCAAGGGCUCCUGUGCCCUCCCACCACAACCUUCCCUCCUACCUGUCUCAAUGCCAGGGCCACCUCUCCAACCACUGUUCCAUUUUCUGAGGGCUUGCCAUGUCCCCAGCACUAUCCUGGACCCUGGGACCCAGCAGACCCUGCCCUGACAGACAGGCCUGGGAGGAUCAGCGAGGCCUCUGAGUACGCAGGCCCUGACGUCUGCCCAGUUUGCGUGCCGUCCUGCGUGGUCCUGCCCCGGCACUAUCUCCCAUCGCCUAGCACCGCUAAUCCGUGACCGCUUCCCGUGGUUGCCAGGAAAAGGCUCGCUCUGCCUGCUUCGAAUAGCCGUGGCCUGGCACAGUGGGCAGAUAACGUGGCCUCCGUGGCCCUCUCCAGGCCACGCUGUGUGUGGCAGGGCCCAGCCCAGCCUGGGCUGGGCCCAGAGGAAGCAGGCAGCCCCAAGGAGCUGACCAGCAGCCCAAAAACUCAUCUUGGACGCCACUGUGUGCCAGCUCAGGGUGGGUGGGUGUACGGGGCAGAGUGUGGCUGGGACCCUCUGACCUGGAGUUGUCUGGGGCUGGGGGACGUGCUGCAGCAGAGAAAGGAGGGCAUUCCAGGAUGGGGGCAUAGCCAAAGCCCCCAGUGGCCAGCUCAGACCACGCUCCUCCCCUGCUCAAAACCUCCCACUGCGAUGGAACCCAUUCCUGGCUCCUCACCACUGCCCACCAGUCCUGCGGACACGGCCCUCCGCUCCCAGCUUCCUCCUGGACUCACCCCCCUGCCUGCUGAGCCCUCUGCCUGUCCCCGCCCUCCCCAGCUUCGGGGUGGGCCUUCCUAACCGUGCGAUCGUGCCCACAGCCUCCCACCUCCCUUCCCUCUAGUCCGGCUCUAUUUUCUGCCUUUUCAGGGCUUGCAGUGACAGUAGGGUGUCCCCUCCCUCACACAGAGCCUGGCACCAGGCGGGCCCCUCCCCUCUGUUGAAUGCGUUUAUGGUUACAGCCAGGUGGGAGGGACCGGAGGCUGGACCAUCAUCAGAGGAGGAGGCUGGAGGAGCCCCAGCUUUGUCAGGGGUUGAGGACUUUAUUUCAAGGACCAUGGGAGCCAUGGAGGUUUUAUGAGCAAGGGAGUGAUGUGCCAGCCCCAAAUAAAGGUACUGGGCCAACCCUGAGAGGAUGGUUGUGGUGCCAAUGGCACCCCAAUGUCCCGACCGCUCUCCGCACAGAUGCCAGGGCCCUGCCAAGCCUCUCCCUGCGGGAGUUUGGAGGCCCUCACUGCAGCGCUAUGGGUACACCGUUAGCUCCAUUCUGUAGACAGAGAAACUGAGGGCCAGGUCCUGGGGCUGAGCCGUGCUCCCACCUGCACCCCCACCCCCAGUUGCCCAUCCCUGCACUGGAGGAUAAGGGGACACAGUCCCCCAACAGGCCCAUGCCCCACCCCCAGUGGGCUAGAUGCUGCCAAGCCCCUGCAGGCAGCUGCCACGGGGAUUUCUAAUAACGGGAGUGAUUUUUGCAUGAUGAAUGAGGCGCUGCCGUUGUGUACAUAAUGAAGCCCUAAUGUUUUCAAAUCCCCAUUUAAGGAGCUGAUCUCACCCUGUAAUGAAUUUCAGAUCACAUUGCCGAUCUACUGUCCAUCUAUCUUCUCCCUGGGGCACCCACCCACCUUGGCACAGUGACAGUGGGGCCUGGUGAGGGUGGGAUCUGCAUCCCCCAAAGGGCCGAGCCCAAGCCCAGCACAGAGCUGGGGCUGGCAUGUUUGUUGAUUGCAUGAGUGAGGGUGUGGGUAGAGGCAGAGGUGGUUCUGGCAGUGGAGCGUCACUGGGGUCAGUCAGGGCCCGGAAGGAGGAUGGAGAACAGAGAUGGAGAGUGUGGGGUGCACCGAGAGAGAAGGGGGUCCAAGGCCCCUGGGGUGGGUCAUUUGUCCAGGCUUUAUGGCUGAGCCUGCUCUCUGCAGGGCUGCAGCUGCUCAGGCGUCUGUCCUGUCCUGGCUGGUACCUUCCCCAGGGACUCAGUUUCUCCAUCUGCCCAGUGGAGCUUGGCUCCUUCAGCCCUGGCAUUAGGCAUUUCCAUGCAGGUGGCCAGAGCCGGGGCUUGAGCAGUGCCCUCUACCCCAGCCCCUCAGGCCUCUGCCCACACAGCCCAUGGCUAGCCUCGGUCUCCCCAUCUGUAAAACAGGGUGACCCUGUGAUAAAGCACAGGCCGCUCUGGGGCAGCUCCUCCCUGCUCUUGCUCCAUUCUCUGUGCUUGUGCCAGCGAGGUGGGAGGUGCUCUUACUGACCUUGUACAGAUGAGGAAACUGAGGCACAGAGCGGUGAAGUGACGCAGCCAAGAGUUGGGGGGGCUGGGGGCAGGGCUUGGGUCUCAUGGCCCCAGGUGUGCUCUGUCACUGCAAGCCAGGCCUCCUCACAGACCCAGUGAGCUCCGUUCAGAGGCUGAGACCCAGGGCCUGUCCUCUCCCUCCCUGCUCUGGGGCCCACGGGUGCCCAGAAAGGGCAGGCAAGGCUGAAGGCCGCCCAGUCAGGGCCUGCCAGUGGCUUUGUCCCGUGGCCUUCAGCACUGCUCCUGUGAGGCGGGGCUAGGGGAGCAGCUCCCGGCCCCAGUUCCCUCUAACUGAUAUCACAGACACGCUGCUCAUCACUCCGGCCUGCCCUCUCCCAUCCUCCAGGCCACUUCUUAGCAGAUCUCAGCCCUCCUCACAGCUCUUGGAAGCCAGUCCUGAAGCUCAGAGAGGUUAAGUGACUUGCCUAAAGCCACCAGCAGGGUGGUGGGCAGGAUUUCUCAGACAAAAAAAUCCCAGUAGGGGGCACACAGCGGGCCAGACCCACAAGACAGUGGGGUUGGAGUAGAGGGACAGGCCGCCCAGGGCUGGUCAGGGUCUCCUGCCCUGAGGGCACCAUGGCCCCGUCGCCCCCAGGCCACAAGCCUCCUUGUGUUCCUAUAAAUAAUUAAUUAGUCCCUGCUUACUUGUUUGUUUAGCAUGAGGAGUGCUCCCCCACUGAGAUGCAUUUAUUGCUGAAUAAAUUUAAAUAUCUAAUCUUCCCUUCAUGAAUAUUACAGCACCCUAAAUAGCGGCCAACGUUUCCUAAGCGCCUUGGCAAAUGCCCCCCCGCAGGAGCCUGCCAGCCUUCCGCCCCUGCUGGCUCUGAGCCGGCCCUGGCCCCAGCCCCUGCCCUUCCUGUGCCCUCCCCUUCCCAGACCUGCCAGGAGGGCCCUGGAGACUGUGCCCCUGGAGACUGUGUGGAGUGUGCAGGCCACGCUGCUGGCAGGAGGGCUGGGGUGGGCUCCCAGCAGGGGUGGCUGGGUGUAAUGGGGGAAGCACCUGGGACCAGGGCAGAGGGUCAGGGCUGGGGCAGAGAGAGGGCAGACAGGGCCCCCAAACAGCAGCAGCGUCAGAGGAGCUCAGGAGGGACACAGGGGAGGUCGGAGGAGCAGAAGGACUGGGAGACAGGGUCUCCAGGACAGCCCUGCUAGGCGCAGG